UACGUAGGGUGCGAGCGUUGUCCGGAAUUAUUGGGCGUAAAGGGCUCGUAGGCGGUCUGUCGCGUCGAAAGUGAAAACUCAGGGCUUAACCCUGAGCUUGCAGUGGGUACGGGCAGACUAGAGUGCGGUAGGGGAGACUGGAAUUCCUGGUGUAGCGGUGAAAUGCGCAGAUAUCAGGAGGAACACCGGUGGCGAAGGCGGGUCUCUGGGCCGUAACUGACGCUGAGGAGCGAAAGCAUGGGGAGCGAACAGG
rnacentral:rRNA from 1 species